UAGUUGGUGAGGUAACGGCUCACCAAGGCGACGAUACAUAGGGGGACUGAGAGGUUAACCCCCCACAUUGGUACUGAGACACGGACCAAACUCCUACGGGAGGCAGCAGUGAGGAAUAUUGGUCAAUGGACGCAAGUCUGAACCAGCCAUGCCGCGUGCAGGAUGACGGCUCUAUGAGUUGUAAACUGCUUUUGUACGAGGGUAAACUCACCUACGUGUAGGUGACUGAAAGUAUCGUACGAAUAAGGAUCGGCUAACUCCGUGCCAGCAGCCGCGGUAAUACGGAGGAUUCAAGCGUUAUCCGGAUUUAUUGGGUUUAAAGGGUGCGUAGGCGGUUAGAUAAGUUAGAGGUGAAAUCCCGGGGCUUAACUCC
rnacentral:rRNA from 1 species